rnacentral:lncRNA from 1 species
AGGUGGACAUUGCCUCCAUGUUUCAGCAGCAGAGCUACGAUAUCUUUUCGGCCUUGCUUGGCUGCUUCAUGCAUUGCUGACCAUCGCUUGACACAGGGCUGGUCUAGGCUAGUGUUAUGUUUGAUCAGAGUCGACACCAUGUCAUAGGAGCCCUUUUUCACAGCUUGAAAAUGAUUGUUAAAAACAACAACUGAAAAUCAAACAACUGAAAACAUGAGCCAAAUCUAUUAGCACUGAACUCCUCCAACAGCACUGAUGUCACAGGCCCCUGGAAGAAUCCACGUUGUUGACAUUACUCUGGUCAUUUAGUUGCCAUGUAGCCAAGCAAAGAGAUGGGGUUUGACCUUGUUGUCCAGGCUGGUUUCAAACUCCUGAGUUCGAGCAAUCUACCCACCCUUCAAAGUGUUGGGAUCACAGGUGACUCUUAGAAUCAUCUAGUCAAAAUGGAAUUGUGACUGUAAGUGCACUAAGAAAAGAUCCCUUUGGGAAGAAUGAACUUAUUUUGACAAAUAUGUUCAAUAUUUUUACAUAUUUAAAAUAUUGACUCUCACCCAGGAAA